AUCACCUGGGGAUCUUGUUAAAAUGCAGAUUUGAUUAAGUCUAGGAUGAGGCCUGAGAGUCUGCAUUUCUACCAAGAUCUCAAGGGAUGUAGA
rfam:Homo sapiens chromosome 6, GRCh38 reference primary assembly.